CAGUAGCCGCGGGAAUACGGGGGGGGCUAGCGUUGUUCGGAAUUACUGGGCGUAAAGCGCACGUAGGCGGCUUGGUAAGUUAGAGGUGAAAGCCCGGAGCUCAACUCCGGAAUUGCCUUUAAGACUGCCGAGCUAGUAGGUGAGAGAGGUAAGUGGAAUUCCGAGUGUAGAGGUGAAAUUCGUAGAUAUUCGGAAGAACACCAGUGGCGAAGGCGGCUUACUGGCUCAUUCUAGACGCUGAGGUGCGAAAGCGUGGGGAGCAAACAGGAUUAGAGACCCCAGUAGUCCCUGUCUCUUAUAC
rnacentral:rRNA from 1 species